rnacentral:rRNA from 1 species
AGGGUUUGAUCAUGGCUCAGGAUGAACGCUGGCGGCGUGCUUAACACAUGCAAGUCGAACGUGAAGGAAUUUGCUUCGGUAGAUUCCGGAAAGUGGCGAACGGGUGAGUAACACGUAGAUAACCUGCCCUGGAGUGGGGGACAACCAUUGGAAACGAUGGCUAAUACCCCAUGGUCCUAACGAUUUUGGAAGUCGUUGGGUAAAACUCAGGUGCUCUGGGAGGGGUCUGCGUCCGAUUAGUUUGUUGGUGGGGUAAUGGCCCACCAAGACCGCAAUCGGUAGCUGGUCUGAGAGGAUGAUCAGUCACACGGGAACUGAGACACGGUCCCGACUCCUACGGGGGGCAGCAGUGAGGAAUAUUGCACAAUGGGGGGAACCCUGAUGCAGCAACGCCGCGUGGAGGAUGAAGGCUUUUUGUCGUAAACUCCUUUUCCAGGGGAAGAGUAAGGACGGUACCUUGGGAAUAAGUCACGGCUAACUACGUGCCAGCAGCCGCGGUAAUACGUAGGUGGCGAGCGUUAUCCGGAUUUAUUGGGCGUAAAGCGCACGCAGGCGGCAAGUUAAGUCUGAUGUGAAAUCUCCCGGCUCAACUGGGAGAGGUCGUUGGAAACUGAUUUGCUUGAGGCAAUGAGAGGGGUGUAGAAUUCCCAGUGUAGUGGUGGAAUGCGUAGAUAUUGGGAGGAAUACCAGAGGCGAAAGCGACACCCUGGCAUUGACCUGACGCUCAUGUGCGAAAGCGUGGGGAGCGAACGGGAUUAGACACCCCGGUAGUCCACGCCGUAAACGAUGAACACUAGUGUAGGUUGGUUCAAAUCUAUCUGUGCCGAAGCAAACGCGAUAAGUGUUCCGCCUGGGGAGUACGGGUUGCAGGCUAAAACUCAAAGGGAAUUGACGGGGACCCGCACAAG